rnacentral:rRNA from 1 species
GACGUAGGGCGCGAGCGUUGUCCGGAUUUAUUGGGCGUAAAGAGCUCGUAGGCGGCUUGUCGCGUCGACCGUGAAAACUUGGGGCUCAACCCCAAGCCUGCGGUCGAUACGGGCAGGCUCGAGUUCGGUAGGGGAGACUGGAAUUCCUGGUGUAGCGGUGAAAUGCGCAGAUAUCAGGAGGAACAUCGGUGGCGAAGGCGGGUCUCUGGGCCGAUACUGACACUGAGGAGCGAAAGCGUGGGGAGCGAACAGG